rnacentral:misc_RNA from 1 species
GAAGUUUGGGCUUCGGCCCUCUCUCUUCUACACACUUGUGAACUUACAACGUUGCUUUGGCAGGUAUCUCGAAGGACGAAAGUCCGGAGGGUCAGGUCGCAAGACGCCUGCCGAGGACACUUAUCCACCCUUUUUCUAUAGUCUGAUUCUUGUUUUAAACAAAAUUAAAAUAAAACUUUCAACAAUGGAUCUCUUGGCUCU